rnacentral:tRNA from 1 species
GGGGGUGUAGCUCAUCUGGUAGAGCGCGUGCUUCGCAUUCAAACUCGAUGAUGCGAGUCAUCGGUGGUAACAUGUGACCUGCACGAGGUACUGGGUUCGACUCCUAGCUCCUCCA